AGAGUACAGCAGUGUGGCUGUAUCCGACUGUCGCACCGGCGGCCUGUUUUGCCGCCAGUGCGGCGGCGGGUUUGCUGUCAAUAUCUCUGCUAUGGAAGUGGUGCCCCCCUUAUGUUCUCCUUGUUGGUCUUCGAGGAGGAUGAUUGGGAGGUUGACGCCGGCGAGCUUGGCGGCGAGGUCGCGGGUAGUGAAGGCGAGGACUGGGUUGGAGUCGGCGGCUUGCUUGGAGAUCUCUGCCGGGGUGUUGAGGGGGUUGGUGGUGGUGAGGACGGCACCGAUGGACAUGAUGGCGAGGGCGACGACUGGGAAGUGGAGGGAAUUGGGGGAGAGGAGGAGGACGACGUCGCCGUGGCGGACGUGGUG
rnacentral:misc_RNA from 1 species